UGCUGAGGAGUCCCAUAAUAGAACGAAACGGCCGUCCA
rfam:Schistosoma rodhaini strain Burundi genome assembly, scaffold: SROB_scaffold0002871